CCUACGGGAGGCAGCAGUGAGGAAUAUUGGUCAAUGGACGAGAGUCUGAACCAGCCAAGUAGCGUGAAGGAUGACUGCCCUAUGGGUUGUACACUUCUUUUAUAAAGGAAUAAAACGAGGCACGUGUGCCUUUUUGCAUGUACUUUAUGAAUAAGGAUCGGCUAACUCCGUGCCAGCAGCCGCGGUAAUACGGAGGAUCCGAGCGUUAGCCGGAUUUAUUGGGGUUAAAGGGAGCGUAGAUGGGUUGUUAAGUCAGUUGUGAAAGUUUGCGGCUCAACCGUAAAAGUGCAAUUGAUACUGGCAGUCUUGAGUACAGGUGAGGUAGGCGGAAUUCGUGGUGUAGCGGUGAAAUGCUUAGAUAUCACGAAGAACCCCGAUUGCGAAGGCAGCUUACUAAACUGUGACUGACAUUGAUGCUCGAAAGUGUGGGUAUCAAACAGGAUUAGAUACCCUAGUAGUC
rnacentral:rRNA from 1 species